rnacentral:lncRNA from 1 species
GAAAGAGUUUUGAAUAGCAGAGCUUUCUACAAUUCAAAUUGCAAAAAAGCAAGUUCGUAAAUGGAAGAGAUGGGGACUUGUGCGUGCAAAUUAGAUUAUGCAUGCAUGCAUCUUUUAUUUCUCGUGUACGAUUGUGUUAUGUAUCUUACAUAUUUUGAUUUUAUGGACUGUUUUAUAUCUCUUGUGGAUUGUGUUUGUAGGAUGAGAUGGGGAUUGGUGCAUCCAAACUUUAAAAUGCAUGUUACCAAAUGAUUUCAUAUAUAGUCAAGACCUAUACAAGACUCAAUAUUUUUUACCAUGUCAACUACCUUCCAAUGUAUGCAGUAUAGAGAAAGAGUUAGAAGCAAAAUGUGCUACUUGAAAGGUUGAAUAUGCAGUUUGAGUGAAGAUGGAACAAAUGAUACAAAAUAAGCUGAAGGAAGUUGAGCAACAAUUCAGUUAUACAUUGUGAGAACUAGCAGCAUAUCUAUUUCAUGAGGAUGAAGAGUUAUGUUUUUUUAGAUGCGUAAUAAUAGAUAUAGAUUAUUUUUGCUACCGCUUUUAAGUUUAGAUGUAACCAUACUUAGUGAAUAAUUUUUAUUUGAAUUUUGGUGUAAUAUUUUGGAUUUAAGGUUACAUUGAUUGGCACUACAUGUCUUAAUUAA